AUUGAACGCUGGCGGCAGGCCUAACACAUGCAAGUCGAACGAGUGGCGGACGGGUGAGUAAUGUCUAGGAAACUGCCCGAUGGAGGGGGAUCACUACUGGAAACGGUAGCUAAUACCGCAUACCAUAAGAUGUGCCCAGAUGGGAUUAGCUUGUUGGUGGGUUAACGGCUCACAAUGGCGACGAUCCCUAGCUGUUCUGAGAGGAUGACCAGCCAAACUGGAACGAGGACACGGUCCAGACUCCUACGGGAGGCAGCAGUGGGAAAUAUUGGACAAUGGGCGCAAGCCGGAUGCAGCCAGGCCGCGUGUAGGAAGAAGGCCUGCGGGUUGUAAAGUACUUUCAGCGGGGAGGCGUUACCCGCAUAAGAAGCACCGGCUAACUCCGUGCCAGCAGCCGCGGUAAUUC
rnacentral:rRNA from 1 species